rnacentral:rRNA from 1 species
CACGCCCUAAACUAUGGAUGCUAGCUGUUGGUCGUAUCGACCCGAUCAGUAGCGAAGCUAACGCGUUAAGCAUCCCGCCUGUGGAGUACGGUCGCAAGACUAAAACAUAAAGGAAUUGACGGGGACCCGCACAAGCGGUGGAGUGUGUUGUUUAAUUCGAUGGUAAACGAAGAACCUUACCCAGACUUGACAUCCUUGGAAGGACUACGAAAGUAGACUGUGCCCUUGGGAGCCAAGUGACAGGUGU